rnacentral:rRNA from 1 species
AAUAGAUACCCUGGUAGUCCACCCCGUAAACGUUGGGAACUAGUUGUGGGGUCCUUUCCACGGAUUCCGUGACGCAGCUAACGCAUUAAGUUCCCCGCCUGGGGAGUACGGCCGCAAGGCUAAAACUCAAAGGAAUUGACGGGGACCCGCACAAGCGGCGGAGCAUGCGGAUUAAUUCGAUGCAACGCGAAGAACCUUACCAAGGCUUGACAUACACGAGAACGGGCCAGAAAUGGUCAACUCUUUGGACACUCGUGAACAGGUGGUGCAUGGUUGUCGUCAGCUCGUGUCGUGAGAUGUUGGGUUAAGUCCCGCAACGAGCGCAACCCUCGUUCUAUGUUGCCAGCACGUAAUGGUGGGAACUCAUGGGAUACUGCCGGGGUCAACUCGGAGGAAGGUGGGGAUGACGUCAAAUCAUCAUGCCCCUUAUGUCUUGGGUCUUCACGCAUGCUACAAUGGCCGGUACAAUGGGCUGCGAUACCAUAAGGUGGAGCGAAUACCCAAAAACGGCCGGUCCCAGUUCGGAUUGAGGUCUGCAACUCGA